rnacentral:rRNA from 1 species
GAUGAACGCUGGCGGCGUGACUAAUACAUGCAAGUCGAGCGAACGGACGAGAAGCUUGCUUCUCUGAUGUUAGCGGCGGACGGGUGAGUAACACGUGGAUAACCUACCUAUAAGACUGGGAUAACUUCGGGAAACCGGAGCUAAUACCGGAUAAUAUUUUGAACCGCAUGGUUCAAAAGUGAAAGACGGUCUUGCUGUCACUUAUAGAUGGAUCCGCGCUGCAUUAGCUAGUUGGUAAGGUAACGGCUUACCAAGGCAACGAUGCAUAGCCGACCUGAGAGGGUGAUCGGCCACACUGGAACUGAGACACGGUCCAGACUCCUACGGGAGGCAGCAGUAGGGAAUCUUCCGCAAUGGGCGAAAGCCUGACGGAGCAACGCCGCGUGAGUGAUGAAGGUCUUCGGAUCGUAAAACUCUGUUAUUAGGGAAGAACAUAUGUGUAAGUAACUGUGCACAUCUUGACGGUACCUAAUCAGAAAGCCACGGCUAACUACGUGCCAGCAGCCGCGGUAAUACGUAGGUGGCAAGCGUUAUCCGGAAUUAUUGGGCGUAAAGCGCGCGUAGGCGGUUUUUUAAGUCUGAUGUGAAAGCCCACGGCUCAACCGUGGAGGGUCAUUGGAAACUGGAAAACUUGAGUGCAGAAGAGGAAAGUGGAAUUCCAUGUGUAGCGGUGAAAUGCGCAGAGAUAUGGAGGAACACCAGUGGCGAAGGCGACUUUCUGGUCUGUAACUGACGCUGAUGUGCGAAAGCGUGGGGAUCAAACAGGAUUAGAUACCCUGGUAGUCCACGCCGUAAACGAUGAGUGCUAAGUGUUAGGGGGUUUCCGCCCCUUAGUGCUGCAGCUAACGCAUUAAGCACUCCGCCUGGGGAGUACGACCGCAAGGUUGAAACUCAAAGGAAUUGACGGGGACCCGCACAAGCGGUGGAGCAUGUGGUUUAAUUCGAAGCAACGCGAAGAACCUUACCAAAUCUUGACAUCCUUUGACAACUCUAGAGAUAGAGCCUUCCCCUUCGGGGGACAAAGUGACAGGUGGUGCAUGGUUGUCGUCAGCUCGUGUCGUGAGAUGUUGGGUUAAGUCCCGCAACGAGCGCAACCCUUAAGCUUAGUUGCCAUCAUUAAGUUGGGCACUCUAAGUUGACUGCCGGUGACAAACCGGAGGAAGGUGGGGAUGACGUCAAAUCAUCAUGCCCCUUAUGAUUUGGGCUACACACGUGCUACAAUGGACAAUACAAAGGGCAGCGAAACCGCGAGGUCAAGCAAAUCCCAUAAAGUUGUUCUCAGUUCGGAUUGUAGUCUGCAACUCGACUACAUGAAGCUGGAAUCGCUAGUAAUCGUAGAUCAGCAUGCUACGGUGAAUACGUUCCCGGGUCU